AAGCUCGUAGUUGAAUUUCGGGCCCGACUGAGUGGUCUUGCCUCGUUGUAAGCACUGCUCUGGUUGGGUCUUUCCUUCUGGCUAACCAGCUGCCUUUCAUUGGGUUGGCUGGGGCUCCAGGACUUUUACUUUGAAAAAAUUAGAGUGUUCAAAGCAGGCAUUUUUUAGCUUGAAUACAUUAGCAUGGAAUAAUAAAAUAGGACUUUGGUUCUAUUUUGUUGGCUUCUAGGACCGAAGUAAUGAUUAAUAGGGAUAGUUGGGGACGUUAGUAUUUAGUUGUCAGAGGUGAAAUUCUUAGAUUUACGAAAGACUAACUCCUGCGAAAGCAUUCGUCAAGGAUGUUUUCAUUAAUCAAGAACGAAAGUUAGGGGAUCGAAGACGAUCAGAUACCGUCGUAGUCUUAACCAUAAACUAUGCCGACUAGGGAUCGGACGACGUAUAAUUAUUGACUCGUUCGGCACCUUAUGAGAAAUCAAAGUUUUUGGGUUCCGGGGGGAGUAUGGUCGCAAGGCUGAAACUUAAAGGAAUUGACGGAAGGGCACCGCCAGGAGUGGAGCCUGCGGCUUAAUUUGACUCAACACGGGGAAA
rnacentral:rRNA from 1 species